CAGCAGCCGCGGGAAUACGUAGGGUGCAAGCGUUGUCCGGAAUCAUUGGGCGUAAAGCGCGCGUAGGUGGCUCUGUAAGUCCGUUGUGAAAGUCAAAGGCUCAACCUUUGAAUGCCGAUGGAUACUGCAGAGCUAGAGUACGGAAGAGGCGAGUGGAAUUCCUGGUGUAGCGGUGGAAUGCGCAGAUAUCAGGAGGAACACCAAUAGCGAAGGCAGCUCGCUGGGACGUUACUGACACUAAGGCGCGAAAGCGUGGGGAGCGAACAGGAUUAGAUACCCGCGUAGUCCCUGUCUCUUAUAC
rnacentral:rRNA from 1 species